rnacentral:rRNA from 1 species
GAUGAACGCUGGCGGCGUGCCUAAUACAUGCAAGUCGAGCGAACGGACGAUAAGCUUGCUUUUCUGAUGUUAGCGGCGGACGGGUGAGUAACACGUGGAUAACCUACCUAUAAGACUGGGAUAACUUCGUGAAACCGGAGCUAAUACCGGAUAAUAUUUUGAACCGCAUGGUUCAAAAGUGAAAGACGGUCUUGCUGUCACUUAUAGAUGGAUCCGCGCUGCAUUAGCUAGUUGGUAAGGUAACGGCUUACCAAGGCAACGAUGCAUAGCCGACCUGAGAGGGUGAUCGGCCACACUGGAACUGAGACACGGUCCAGACUCCUACGGGAGGCAGCAGUAGGGAAUCUUCCGCAAUGGGCGAAAGCCUGACGGAGCAACGCCGCGUGAGUGAUGAAGGUCUUCGGAUCGUAAAACUCUGUUAUUAGGGAAGAACAUAUGUGUAAGUAACUGUGCACAUCUUGACGGUACCUAAUCAGAAAGCCACGGCUAACUACGUG